CGGAAAAAGAAUUAUCCAGAUCCAGUUUCCAUCAUCCAGAAGUAUGGUGCUGAUGCCCUCAGAUUAUAUCUGAUUAACUCCCCUGUGGUGAGAGCAGAAAACCUCCGCUUUAAAGAGGAGGGUGUGCGGGACGUCCUUAAGGAUGUACUGCUCCCAUGGUACAAUGCCUAUCGCUUCUUAAUCCAGAACGUUCUGAGGCUCCAGAAGGAGGAAGAAAUAGAAUUUCUCUACAAUGAGAACACGGUUAGAGAAAGCCCCAACAUUACAGACCGGUGGAUCCUGUCCUUCAUGCAGUCUCUCAUUGGCUUCUUUGAGACUGAAAUGGCAGGUGAGUCUCUCUUGGUCUGUCCUCCCAGGAAUAAGGACUAUUCUCUUUGUAACUGCCCUUUUGAUAUUUAAUAGUGGAAAUAUUGAGAGAUACAGAAAAUUAAAUAAUUGUUUCCUUUUACCUCUCAUAUAGUUUUGUUAAGGCUUGUUAAUUGUCGUGAUAUCUUUCUUUCAAGGCCCUGGGGACUUCUGGCCUGGUGUGGUGGCUCACGCCUGUAAUCCCCAGCAUUUUGGGAGGCCAACGCAGGCAGGUCACCUUAGGUCAGGAGUUUGAGACCAGCCUGGCCAACAUGGCGAAACCCUGUCUCUACUAAAAAUAUAUUU
rnacentral:sRNA from 1 species